GUAUUUCUUGUGUUCUGUUUGUAAGUCUUCCUUGUGUUCCUAGUGUUUCCUUAUCCCAGUGUUUUCUUUUUUUCUUUUGAUUUCAGUUUCUUGGACAUUUAGAGUCUGAGUGGGCUAGAGUCGUGAGAACCUCAUUGAGGCCACUGAAGUGCUCCACAGUGGGACGGUCUUUAAAAGAUUAAAGCCGUCUCCAGUGUCCAGCCCUCAACUUCCCACCAGUCAGUCAGUGUGUCAGUGGUUCAACUGUCUCUUCAUUCCUCUCCUCCAUCUCCUUGUCCCUUCCUGUCACAGCAAGGACAUUCUGUAUCCAAUGCUGGUCUCAGCUAUGAAUUCCUAUGGAUGAAGGACUGCACAUGCUUCAGGAUGAUGCAUCGCCAAUCUUAGACUGACAGGCUUUUAGAGGCACACCAGGUUUUUUCCCAUCUUGAGCUCACUGUAAAUAGAUGUAUCAUUUUUUCUGGUUCACUAGGCCCCUUUUUGAAUCCCUCCUUUGUUCUGUAAUAUGAACCAUGAUGUUCCCUCCUCGAAAGAUUGGGUACAUUAGUAAAAAUAGCUGUGUGCACUCAGUUUUCAAUCUGCAAUAAGCUUCUUAAAUAACUUUUAUUCUCUGAUGUUGCAGAUUUGAUAUAUAUUCUGUGUUUC